UACGUAGGGGGCUAGCGUUGUCCGGAAUCAUUGGGCGUAAAGCGCGCGUAGGCGGCCCGGUAAGUCCGUUGUGAAAGUCAAAGGCUCAACCUUUGAACGCCGAUGGAUACUGCCGGGCUAGGGUCCGGAAGAGGCGAGUGGAAUUCCUGGUGUAGCGGUGGAAUGCGCAGAUAUCAGGAGGAACACCAAUAGCGAAGGCAGCUCGCUGGGACGGUACUGACGCUGAGGCGCGAAAGCGUGGGGAGCGAACAGG
rnacentral:rRNA from 1 species